rnacentral:rRNA from 1 species
AAACCAGCACCUCAAGUGGUCAGGAGGAUUAUUGGGCCUAAAGCAUCCGUAGCCUGCUCUGUAAGUUUUCGUUAAAUCUGUACGCUCAACGUACAGGCUGCCGGGAAUACUGCAGAGCUAGGGAGUGGGAGAGGUAGACGGUACUCGGGAGGAAGUGGUAAAAUGCUUUGAUCUCUCGAUGACCACCUGUGGCGAAGGCGGUCUACCAGAACACGUCCGACGGUGAGGGAUGAAAGCUGGGGGAGCAAACCGGAUUAGAAACCCCAGUAGUCC